rnacentral:tRNA from 1 species
AAUAUUAUGACUGAUAAAAGUAAUAAAUUGAAAAUUUAUAAAUUUUAUUAUUUCGAAGAUAAUUCUAUUU